rnacentral:rRNA from 1 species
UACAGAGGGGGCAAGCGUUGUUCGGAAUUACUGGGCGUAAAGGGCGCGUAGGCGGCCUUCUAAGUCAGACGUGAAAUCCCUCGGCUCAACCGGGGAACUGCGUCUGAUACUGGGUGGCUUGAAUCCGGGAGAGGGAUGCGGAAUUCCAGGUGUAGCGGUGAAAUGCGUAGAUAUCUGGAGGAACACCGGUGGCGAAGGCGGCAUCCUGGACCGGCAUUGACGCUGAGGCGCGAAAGCCAGGGGAGCAAACGGG